rnacentral:lncRNA from 1 species
GGGUCUAGGGAACCCCAGUUUUGACCAGUUGACUUUCUCUGGCUAGCUUAAUAUUCUCUUGACUUUUGGGACUCAUGGAGGAUUAUAUAUAUGUAGGAUGAUGUAAUAUGAAAUACCCCUUGAUAUAUUUGAUCAAAUAUUGAAGAAAUUUGCUGAAGAAGUUACACAAGAUACCCAGAUGAAAUAGGGUUCCAAGGCAAGCAAUCUUCAAACUCUUGAUGUAUUCUUGAU